GUGUCAGCCGCCGCGGUAAUACGAAGGGGGCUAGCGUUGUUCGGAAUUACUGGGCGUAAAGUGCACGUAGGCGGAUAUUUAAGUCAGGGGUGAAAUCCCAGAGCUCAACUCUGGAACUGCCUUUGAUACUGGGUAUCUUGAGUAUGAAAGAGGUGUGUGGAAUUCCGAGUGUAGAGGUGAAAUUCGUAGAUAUUCGGAGGAACACCAGUGGCGAAGGCGGCUCACUGGUCCAUUACUGACGCUGAGGUGCGAAAGCGUGGGGAGCAAACAGGAUUAGAUACCCUCGUAGUCC
rnacentral:rRNA from 1 species